CCUGGUUGAUUCUGCCAGUAGUCAUAUGCUUGUCUCAAAGAUUAAGCCAUGCAUGUCUAAGUAUAAGCAACUUUAUACUGUGAAACUGCGAAUGGCUCAUUAAAUCAGUUAUAGUUUAUUUGAUGGUACUUUGCUACAUGGAUAACUGUGGUAAAUCUAGAGCUAAUACAUGCUUAAAAGCCCCGACUUCUUGGAAGGGGUGUAUUUAUUAGAUAAAAACCAACCCUUCGGGUCCCUUGGUGAAUCAUAAUAACUUUUCUAAUCGCAUGGCCUUGUGCCGGCGAUGCUUCAUUCAAAUAUCUGCCCUAUCAACUGUCGAUGGUAGGAUAGAGGCCUACCAUGGUUGCAACGGGUAACGGGGAAUAAGGGUUCGAUUCCGGAGAGGGAGCCUGAGAAACGGCUACCACAUCCAAGGAAGGCAGCAGGCGCGCAAAUUACCCAAUCCCGACACGGGGAGGUAGUGACAAUAAAUAACAAUAUAGGGCUUUUAAAGUCUUAUAAUUGGAAUGAGUACAAUUUAAAUCCCUUAACGAGGAACAAUUGGAGGGCAAGUCUGGUGCCAGCAGCCGCGGUAAUUCCAGCUCCAAUAGCGUAUAUUAAAGUUGUUGCAGUUAAAAAGCUCGUAGUUGAACUUCAGGCCUGGCCGGUCGGUCCGCUUAACAGCGUGUACUGCUUGGCCGGGCCUUCUCUCUUGGUGAUCCGGCAUGCUCUUUACUGGGUGUGUCGGGGAACCAGGAUUUUUACUUUGAAAAAAUUAGAGUGUUCAAAGCAGGCCUAUGCCCGAAUAUAUUAGCAUGGAAUAAUAAAAUAGGACGUGCGGUUCUAUUUUGUUGGUUUCUAGGAUCGCCGUAAUGAUUACACAGUCUCCGCCGCAGCUAUCCUCCCACCCGGCAUUGGUGGCCUUGGUCCGGUGAGUUCUCUACGGCCAGAGAUUUCUGGCCAUGAAACGGUCCUCUACUGAAAGUACCGCAUGUUUGUUGAAUCGAGUAUCUUCAUAUCCUACAGUGUACCAACUGCGGCAAGCCAGUUCUCUGUUGCGAUAAAAGGUCUUUGUGAAGGCGGAAGUCUCCUCCGAGAGCCUGCCUGAUGUGGGUACGUCCGGUGAAGGAACCGACCCUUGCCGACCUUGGCAUCAGAGUGGGGUUCCAGAGGCACAUCCCAUUGCGUUUUUGAGUUCCUAUGAGUACUUCCACGCUCAUGUAUCCACGGCGAAGACUUCAGA
rnacentral:rRNA from 1 species